UACGAAGGGGGCUAGCGUUGCUCGGAAUCACUGGGCGUAAAGCGCACGUAGGCGGGUUGUUAAGUCGGGGGUGAAAUCCUGGAGCUCAACUCCAGAACUGCCUUCGAUACUGGCGACCUUGAGUCCGGGAGAGGUGAGUGGAACUCCGAGUGUAGAGGUGAAAUUCGUAGAUAUUCGCAAGAACACCAGUGGCGAAGGCG
rnacentral:rRNA from 1 species